GCAUAUCAAUAAGCGGAGGAAAAGAAACCAACAGGGAUUGCCCUAGUAACGGCGAGUGAAGCGGCAACAGCUCAAAUUUGAAAUCUGGCCUCGGCCCGAGUUGUAAUUUGCAGAGGAAGCUUUAGGCGCGGCACCUCCUGAGUCCCCUGGAACGGGGCGCCAUAGAGGGUGAGAGCCCCGUAUAGUUGGAUGCCUAGCCUGUGUAAAGCUCCUUCGACGAGUCGAGUAGUUUGGGAAUGCUGCUCAAAAUGGGAGGUAAAUUUCUUCUAAAGCUAAAUACCGGCCAGAGACCGAUAGCGCACAAGUAGAGUGAUCGAAAGAUGAAAAGCACUUUGAAAAGAGGGUUAAAUAGCACGUGAAAUUGUUGAAAGGGAAGCGCUUGUGACCAGACUUGCGCCGGGCGGAUCAUCCGGUGUUCUCACCGGUGCACUCCGCCCGGCUCAGGCCAGCAUCGGUUCUCGCGGGGGGAUAAAGGCCCCGGGAACGUAGCUCCUCCGGGAGUGUUAUAGCCCGGGGCGCAAUGCCCUCGCGGGGACCGAGGUUCGCGCAUCUGCAAGGAUG
rnacentral:rRNA from 1 species